ACACAAGCUCACAAGCUCCAAGUUGCAGCCACCUAUUACAGAGCUCGUGCGUCAGAGGAAAAAGGGGGCAGGGAGAGAGAGAGAAAGAGAGAAGAAGGAAGACAAUGCACUCUGCAAUUAGUAGCUUCAAUGAGAGGUAAAUUAAUUUCCCCAGCUGUAUUGUGGUUAUUAUUGCUGUUUAGAAAGUGGACAGGGGUAAAAUCGCAUUGAAGUGCAGAUGUCAGCAUGGUGUAAAUGGUACUUUAAAAAGGCCAAAGAGUGGAGGAACAACAAAUACAGAGGCACCUUUUCAGGCAAGGAAUUUUAAUUGCAAACACAAAUGCUUUGUAAGAAGAGUCCCUGGAAAAUACUUUUGUGUCAUUUAAGCUGCUGCAAAUUACAAGAACAGACGUGUCUGAAUCCGUCUGCUCCAGACUGAUGUGUUGUGGGGACACCUGAAACUAGAACUCGCAUCAAGCUCUUAAGGUCUGCGCUUGGAGGAGCUAAAGUAAAGAGAUUUCAGGAGGGGGCGAGAUUCUCAGCCAGAUUUAAUAGCUUGCUUUAGAAAACAGUCAAGAUUAAAUUAACAAAAUCUGGUGUAUUAAUGCUAUAGCAUGUGGAAUCACUGACAGUGUGUUGCUCUUGUGGGCAGGGAGAAAGUAACACCUUUUCCAAAUGGAAGCAGCUGUGCCAAAGGGGGAAAUAGCAACACGGGCCACUGGUUAUUUUCAUUUUAAGAGAAAAACACGUAUUUGUGAUAACCAUCAGCAAAUCACCUUAUAUAAAAUGUCAACAUUAGAACAUAACUUAUUAAGAUAGAUUUUUUAAAUUUAUUUAUUAUGAGUAGUGGUAGUAUAAAAAUAUGCAAAACGGGUUCCAAAAAUACACAGAGGGCUUCAUGCUUCAGGCAAUUAGGAAAAUGAGUAAAACAUAUCAUCUGCACUGAUGGACAUGAGGAGUCUUCAGACUGACACAUGCAAACGAAAUAGCGCAGGCCCUCUUGACAAAGGGCAUUCCAUGACGGAGGGGCCACCACUGGAAAAGCCCCUUCCUUUGUUGCUACAAAGUGCAGCUCUGAUAAGCAAAGCCCUUGCAGAAGAACUUCAGCAGAUCUCAGAACACGGGCAGACAGGGACGGGAACUGGCACGCCUUCAGGUGCCGAGGGCUCCUCCAGUUUAGGGAUUUAAAGGUAAGUUCCAGUGUCCUCCUGCACAUAGGCACCUCUUAGAAUAAUAGCUAUAAUGAUAACAAAUGUGUUUAGCACUUAAAAAUCCUGGCAGCCAUAUUCCACACUAGUUAAAGCUUUUGAGUCAUCUUUAAUGACAGCCCCACAUGUAAUGCAUUGUCGAGGCUUUUCGGGAUUCCUGUGCCUCUAACUGAAAGUUUAUUAUUUGCAGACUCAUCCCAUUUCAUUGCCUGUUAAUCUCCGUUUGUGGGGAUUCGUGGUGGAGAGUCUCUUAAUGGCCUUGCAGUCGCUGCCUGCUCUGUGAUGCUGUUAAUUCAUUGUCUCCAGUCGUGGCUUGUUUGUUUUAAUAGUGAAAUAGUGCUUUAAAAAUAACAAAGGGGUGGAGGAUGAUUUUUUUAAUAUAUUUUUUUGAGGUUGUAUUUUGUAUUAUAUCGUAAGACGGCCUGGGAAAAGGACGUUUUCUUUCUUUUUUUUCUGUGAAAGAACAGGAAUUCAAAUGCUUAAAAUAUAUAUUGGAGGAAUGCCUGUGUUUAAGUACCUAUCAUAUCGUGCUUUUGCAGGGCUCAAAAAUAUUAUCUCAACAAUCUUAAAAUGGCCCUGUAUGGUAUUGGCAAUAUUAAUAUCCUCCUCACGCAAAUGUGAGGCUGAAAACAAGUGGAUGGCUGAAGGCCGUCUAGUGAGUCCAUGGCCAACGCGAGGUUUAAAACAGGUCCUACUGACUCGUGGCUUUAGCUUUACACCAGCUCUGAGCAGGUGGGCUUUUUAAAUAUCAGGGCAUGUUGUUGCUGUACACACAGAUAUCGCCUCCCCUGAGGGAAGCAGUUUUAGGAUGGAGGCCUCUCUGUCACACACUCUCAUCAAGGAACUUUUUCUUUUAAAAGUCAAUAUUGCAGAAGGUGUUUUUUUGUUGUUUUUUUACCUUGACACAUUAAUUUUAAGUAACAUUUCCCAGUGGACAAAUUCAAAAUGGGCCCCCUAAGGAUGUUCAUUUAUUAGUGACUAAAUCAUUAUCACCACUGUAAGUUAUGUUGCACCUUUGGAGCGUUCAAAAUAUUUCACAUAUAUUACCUCAAGAAUUCUGUCAAUCCUUUUUAGUACUAAGUAACUUAAUAUCAUUAUCCCCAUUUUGCAGAUGGAAGACUGAGGCCAGGACAUGAGUGGCUUGCAUAAGGCCACUUAGUGUGCUUGUGGCUACAGUUCACAAAGCAGACAACAUCUGGGAAACUCAUGACCAGAUUCCUUUAAAUUCUGCUGUUUAAAAAUUUUAAAGCAGCCUUUGGUGCUACAGGAGGACAUAUUUAACUCUUCCCCUGAAGCUACUAACUAAGCCGGGGGGGGAGGGGGGAGCAGGGAACAGGAAACAGGACAGUUAAACCAUAAAAAUGACAUGGGGGGCGAGGUUAAGCACCCUUUCAUUCCCGUGCUCCUUUCCGAUGCAAGUCAGAUCCCUUUGUGGCAUCUGUCUUGUCCCUCAGCCACUGUGCUGGCCUAGAUCUCAAGUACCGGCCCAAUGAAUAGCACUCCUAAUAAAUGGUGCUUCUAGCAGAACAAUCCUGCGAAUUGCUGAGCUGUUAAAUCCAUUUUCAGAUCAGGUGCAAAAGCACUAACAAGCUGCCGCAUUGCAUAGCCAGUGGCUUGCGCGUCAGUUUGGGUCAUUGCGCUGGUACAUCUGCUGAGUCAGCUGCUUUCCUUACAGUUCCCAUUGCUGGCUGUAGUGCGAUAGGGACUUGCCUAAUACCGCCUUUUCUCCUGGCAGCACUAUGCCGUGGUGACUGGAGCAGCCGAGCGAAUUCACCCCACCAAACAUUCUCCACUUUGAAAUAAUGGCUGCCGAUAGCAAGCAUGGCACUACCGGUCAUAGCUGCGGGGAGAGCAGUUCCCAAAUAGCGCAUCCGUUCCAUGUGUUCAGUUGCUAUCCUAACUUACAUCAUUUGGGGAACAGGUGAGCUUCAUUUUGCAGAUGCCCGGGGAUGUUGAUGGCCAACAUAAGUGAGAAACUGCAACAGUAGCAAAGCUGGAAUAGAAGAGAAGAUAGGUUUGCUCCAGGCCAAAGAUUGCCUUUGUGAGUCACAUAGGAAAGUGAGGCUGCUCUGUUUCCUCCAAUCCGGCUUCGCUCUGUAACAACUUCACUUCCCUUCUGCUAGCAAUGGCCUUAUAAGGCUUGUUUGGGCAAUUUUGCAAGAUGAAUAGUUCCGUUAUAAUAAGUUGCCAAAAUCUUAAAUAAUGAUCUCUUACAAAUCUUGCAAGAGAGGAGGGUUGGCUGCCUUACAACGUUCUGGCUAAUGUACAAAUUGAAGCUACAAACUCCCACCGCUGCCGGCACCAAAAAAGGAGCUUCCUGGGAAACAUCAGCCAAGCUCUUAAGAUUCGCAGCUUAGCAUUAUCAGAAUCUAUUUAGUCAGCUUCAAAUACCAAAACACACAUGAGGGACUCUGGACUUCAAAACCUCAAGAAAUCUCAAAGCUGUAGUGUUUGUGUUGUUGUUGUUCGGACUUUUAUCCCACUCUUCUUUCCAAAGAACUCAGGGUACGGCAUCAUAAGUAACGCAAUAUAAUGGGAAAAGUAUUACAAAAAUUUAAAACAACUAAAAACAGAUUUUCAGGAUCCAGGAACGGUCAGAGUGGGAAGCUGAGGGCAGGAGCACUUCAGGAAGCAAUUCUCAGAUUUCUCUAGCCACACCGUCGGAAACGGGGGCUGAAACUGCCCCCCUCCCAAGCCAUUUUUUCUGCAAGGACCCCCACCCCAGAUUUUGGCUGCAUCAGCAAAACUAUUUUUUUCCCUAAAGGAAACAUGGUGUUGGGGCGGGUGGAGCUCAGGGGUCAGCAAACUUUUUCAGCAGGGGGCCGGUCCACUGUCCGUCAGACCUUGUGGGGGGCCGGACUAUAUUUUGAAAAAAAAUAUGAACAAAUUCCUGUGCCCCACAAAUAACCCAGAGAUGCAUUUUAAAUAAAAGGGCAUUUUCUACUCAUGUAAGAACAUGCUGGUUCCCGGACUGUCCGUGGGCCAGAUUUAGAAGGUGAUUGGGCCGGAUCUGGCCCCCGGGCCUUAGUUUGCCUACCCAUGGUAGAGCCCAUCAUGCUCUACCUUGAGCUGGCCCCGAUUCUCAGCUGGCGUUUCCUUUCCCUUACAUUUAAGUCAGCUGGUUCCUCUCCUAAGAGUCAGAGAACAGUCCCAGGGCUGCCUCCUGUCACCAGCCGGCCCUGAUGCUGUUUCCCCCAUAAAGAAAAAGAAUCACACAAGCAUCAGCUUCUCUGCUGGGAUUAUUUUGGCUGCAUCCGUUCUAAGGUUCAUCUUUCUCCUGCAAAGUAUGCUUAUGUUCCUGAUGUUUAUUUUAUUGCAUUUAUAUCUCACCUUUUAUCCAAGGAGCUGAUAAUUUGGUGUCAUCAGGAAACUUGACUGUCUCACUGCUCACCUCUUAGAACCAUGGGACCUUGUUCAGUUGUUCAAAGCAAAGGCUACAAUCCCAAUCCUUGAGGGAUUCCACUUUCUACAUCCCUGCACUGGGAGAACUAUCCAUUUAUUUCUACUCUCUGCUUCCUGUUCUUUAACCAGCUACUGACCUCUUUUCUUAUCCCGUGACUGCUUACUCCUAAGGGGCUUUUGAUCCAUGUGCGAUAUACUCAAAGAACCCUAAAAGGCUUUUUAGAUGAGACUUAUCCUUGCCGAAGCCAUACUUCUUUUUCUUCAGCAAGACUUGUUCUUCUGUAUGCUUGAUAAUUCUAUCUUUAAUCAUCGUUCCCACCAGUUUUCCCAGAACAGAUGCUAAAUUAACCAGCUUCUAAUUUUCUUCAGAUUCCAUUAUUAAAAUUGUCGCAUUAGCCACCUUCCAAGUGUCAAAUAUGAAGACUGAUCUUAGAGAAAAAUUACAUAUUUUUGUUAGAAGAUACUGGGUUAAGAACACUUAGGUGGAUGAUUUCCUUAUUUCUCCACGUUUUUAAUUUCUCACUAAAGCUUCACCUGUUGUCACUGUGAUUUGCUGCAGUUCCUCAGAUUCCCUUCCUGAGAAAGGGAGUCACAGUGUCACAGUGAAGACAGACGCAAAGAAUUCACUCAGCUUCUUUGCAAUUUUCUUUUCCACCUUUAACACAUAUUUAACUUCCUUGUUGUCCAAUGGUUCGACUACCUCCCUGACUUGUUUCUUGCUUCUAAUGUUUUAAAGAAAUAGUUAUUGUUGGACUAAAUGUUUUCAGAGAGUUUGGGAAUUUUUUCACCCCUUAUUGUCUGUUUGCAUUUCUUUUGCCAAGGUUUAUGUUCCUCGUUCUCUUCUUCUGGACAUUCUUGCCUCUCAUAGUUUCCUCGCCUCUGCUCAUUAACCCUGCUGGCCAUCUCUUGGCCCUGCUGGUCCCUUUCCUAAUCCGCAGUGUACAGUCCAGCGGAGCUUCUGUUGUUGUGUCUUUUAAUAACCUCCAAGCACUCUGGAGAGAUUUGACCCUCUUGACUUCCCUUUCGACUUUCUUCUGUCCCCUCAUUUUUGCAAAGUUGCCUCCGUUGAAGUCAAAUGCGUUGGACUUUCUUGGCAAUUGCCCAGUACGUUGAAUAUGUUAGGACAGUAGUCACUGUUCCCAGUCAGCUCAACAAGACUUACACCUCACAGCUUUGUAUUAUUUCCCUUUUAAGCCAUCUCUACAAAGCUCUACACAUCCUGAUCCAUAGAAGCAGGUAGGGGGGUGUUAUUGACUUCUGUCAAAACACAUCCGUGAUCAGUGCUCUCAGCUGAAUGUCAUUCAUCUGAGCCAGGCCAGCCGCAAAGCCCAGGGACUGCUAUCUAGCCUCACUAGGCUCCCUUCUUAUAGUAAAGCCUGGCAGUCUGGAGGUGGUUAUUCUUUGGAUUCUGUCACAAAAAUCAGGAAAAUUGAGCCAUGUUUCUUGAGAAAUUUCUAUUGCUCCAUCUGAUUGGGAAGAGAUUUCCUCAGAGCUGCCAAAUUUCAAAUGCUACUCAAACAUUUGGCAACUGUGAGCGGUGAACAGGGGUUCCAUUUACGCUGAAGAAUUUUCUUGCCAACCAUCUUUGUGCUCAGGAGACUGUUUCCUGCAUUGAUGUUAUGUGGUUUUUUGUUCAGUUUCCUAAAAUAAAUAUUGACGGGUCACCGGGAGCCUCCUUAUUAAGAAUCAUGUUUAUUCAUAAAUCCCCAGAAUUUAUUUCCAGGCACAACACGGACCUACUCCAUUAGCUGCUUCAUUAUGUAUUCCCCACCUCUUAUUAUGCUACAUUUGUGACUUGUGGGCGAGUCUCAUAUAUUUGGAUUAUAAAUUUCUCAUAUUAUGUUGAUGUUGCUUGUAUAAUCUGUUUCACCUUUUCUUUAUGUGCACUUUCUUCCUGAUCUUUUUUUUUAAAAAAAAAUCUUAUUAUUUCAUCAUAAAAUUCCAACCCCCCUUUCCUCCCAGGAAAUCAAGUUCAUGGUUCUUUCUCCCUGUUUAAUCCUAACAACAACCCUGUGAAGUAGGUCAGGCUGAGAGACUUUUCUCUCUAAAUCCUAAAAUAAUAAACAUGAGGACUGUUCAGAUAAAUAAUUAGCAAAUGCAUAUAUUAAUCUCUUUUCAGAAAAUUAGAUGUGUUAGACUGUUGUAACAAAAAUAGCCGAGGGAGGGAGAAAUCUGUUAAACUUGCUCCAUACCAGCCUACAGCAGUGUUGAAGAGCAGGACAAGCGCAUGAACGCUGGGCCAAAUGGAUCAAGAGAUGGAGGACUCACACUUGUAUUUCCCACCAGCUUUAUUUUUCUCAAGCCACAGAGCUGAACUGAUUUAGACUGGACUAGCUGUGCCUAGAGAGGUGGCUUGAUCUCAAGGGUUGCCAACAUGGUGCACCCAAAAUGUUGGGCUUCCAACUUGCAUCAGUCCAAGUCAACAUGGCUAAUGGUCAGGGAUGAGGCGAAUUGUAAUCCAACAGCAUCCUGAGCGCACCAAGCUGGCUAUCCUUGGAUGAACCUGUUAAGUUGUGGGUUGACAUAGCAGACAACACAGCGAUUUCUCCAAAGCAGCUCUUUAUUUUGUAAGCUGGAACAGAACUAACAGGAGCUCAGUCAGCCUGCUUAUAUAGAGCUCCAAAACAAUGUAACUGUUGCCAUUUUCUAAAACUAUCCAAUCACUGAACGUCACUUUUCGAUCCUUCAUUUGCAUACAAAACUAUCCAAUCACUGAACGUCACUUUUCGAUCCUUCAUUUGCAUAACUAUCUACAGUAUCCCCCUGCUGGCCCAGGGUGAGAACUUCAGUACAUAACAGAACCAUUUCCCUCAAACAUCAUUUUCUGCCAGUCUAAUUCUUGCCCCCACCAAUCUGCUACUAGCCCCGCAGGAAAAAAUAUAAAGAAACAUUUUCUCAGAAAACCACCAUUACCCUAUAACUGCUACUAUUCCCCUGGAGGAAAAAAAAAUACAGGCGAGAGCAUCUGUUCUGCUCAUAGGCACAUGCACAGGGUGUGCAGGGAGUGCCCAGGCACCCCAUGAUUUUAUUUUUUCAUGAGGAUCAUGGCAAGGAGGAGACACAGGCAGAAUAAAAAGGCUGGACUGGGUCUGCAGCAGCACCUGUCUCUUGAGGCAGUGGCGGAGUGAAGGAGGAAGCCACUUCCAGAGAUGGAGAUCUGUUCCUGCUUUGUUCCUCUGCCUGCACCUCUGUUUUGGUGGCUCUGUCUCAGUCCAAGCUCCACCCGCCUUUUGUGCAGAGAGGCCUGUGGGGGUGGCAGGCUGAUUUUGUGGUGCGCAAGCAAAGAGGAGGGGAAUGCGUCUUGCCCUCAGUCCUCCAUAUCUCCCCAUCUCCGCCCAGUUCUUUUUCUCUUCAGGAAUAAUAUUCUCCUUUGGCUUCUUGACCGCUCUUCUUCUUGUUGCCCUGUUAGCUUUUUGUCUCUUUACCUCUUUCCUUAUUUGUCUUGCCAUUCUCUCUCCUCCAUUCUUUCUUCACUGAAAUAAAUAAAUAAAAUUUCCCCAGGUGCAAACCCUAAUGAAAUGUGCUGCACAUGCUCCUGCUACGUGAGUAAUAGCAGCUGGGGGCAGGGAAGCAAAUAAAUGCCCCCACUCCCCAGUUGUGGCUGUUCUAAUCCAAUUUCUGCAGCUGCUUUUGAUCACUUUUAGGUAAAAAUAAAAACACCAGGAGAUCUGAUCCUGGAGCUCCUGUGAUUCAUGUCCUUUGGCCCUUACUAAGAUUAAUGCUUCUUGUAGCAUAAGGUUUGUUUACUAUAGCCCAUUCAAAGUGGCUUCCUAUAUUCAUUUGGCACAUAUACAUUGGUGUUUAAGGAUGCAUACUUUCCAUAUUCAUUCCAGAAAGACCCAUGUAUGCGUACUACCCACUGCAAAGGCAAUUAUUUCAUGAUAUUUGGAGCCACCCUAGUAAACUACCUUGUGUGUCCUUUUUCCUAUACCAGUGAUGUAACUCUAGCAAGAUGGGCAUCAGAACUUGUACAAAAGAAAUACUCUGAAUAUAUGUUGUUCUCUGACCAGCUGUGCUGAUUAUAGAUUGCAACAGGGAGAGAUGCAGAUGGAUCUUUUGAUGGUUCUUGAUUUUGCUUAAAAGGCUGCUAAUUUUGAGAUGGUGGUUUUCUGUAACGCAGCUGGCAGUUUCUCUGAAUUUAUGGUAACAUAUUUCAAAGGACCAGUUUGGGUGACUUACACCACUCAUAUUAUUUCACCUGAUUGGGUAGAUGUUCGCAGGGGUUACCAAUGUUAGAUGUCUCUUCUCUUUCUGCCCCAAAGACAAGAAAUAGGAUACAACCAUUGUGUAAAUCCCUUAAUUUCCUUGCUUGUCAUAAUGAGACACAGUAUUCAGUUUGGGGUGAUGAUGUCUCAUUAUCAAGCCCCCAGGCUUGAUAAAGAACUUGCGGGGGGGAUACUAAGUCGAUCUGCUCUAGAUGCCUUAAAGCAUUGCCAUGAUUUGGUUGUCACGAUGGAUUUACGCAGAAAAUAAAUACUAGGUUGUUACUAUAUGCUUAUUUGCACUCCUGGCAUGUCUAUUGUCCUUACAGAUUAUUAAUGCAUAUCUAUUUAACCUUAUUAUGUUAAAAAGAUUAUAAAGAAGAGAGAUAAUUCAGCCACCUCUUUGAGACUGACGCUCCUCUCUUGCAGCUUUUCCUUGGGAAUGUUUAAAAAUGGCAGUGAUCAGAGAUUGAGAAUGCGUAAAGCUAAAUUAAUUGUGAAAAUGUUACUUGAAUGUUGCAUUCCGUGCUUUCAGUGUGGGCCAUCUGUGGGCUCAAGUGUAAUAGUAAGUGUAGACUCUCAUGGGUAGGCAAACUAAGGCCUGGGGGCCGGAUCUGGCCCAAUCGCCUUCUCAAUCUGGCCCGCGGACGGUCCGGGAAUCAGCAUGUUUUUACAUGAGUAGAAUGUGUCCUUUUAUUUAAAAUGCAUCUCUGGGUUAUUUGUGGGGGAUAGGAAUUUGUUCAUUUUUUCCCCCUUCAAAAUAUAGUCUGGCCUUCCACAUGGUCCGAGGGACAGUGGACCGGCCCCCUGCUGAAAAAGUUUGCUGACCCCUGGUAGAUCAUCAAAGAGGGACAUUGCCUAUCAGCUUGUAGAGAGAGCUCCCCUCAAAGCCAGAAGGAGGUGGAGGGCCAUUCUGACAGAAAUACGGUGGUACCUCGGGUCACAGGCGCUUCAGGUUACAGACUCCGCUAACCCAGAAAUUGUACCUCAGGUUAAGAACUUUGCUUCAGGAUGAGAACAGAAAUCAGGUGGCGGUGGCAUGGAAGCAGUGGGAGGCCCCAUUAGCUAAAGCGGUACCUCAAGUUAAGAACAGUUUCAGGUUAAGAAUGGACCUCCGGAACAAAUUAAGUUCUUAACCAGAGGUACCACUGUGAUAGAAACUUAGGACUUUUGGGUUAGAGUGUGGUGCUGAGAACGCCAAGGUCUCAGGUUCGAUCCCCGUAGGGGACAGCUGCAUAUUCCUGCGUUGCCAGGGGUUGGAUUAGAUGAUCCUUGGGUGUCCCUUCCAACUCCAUGAUUCUUUGAGACAUUUAUGAAGGCCCAACCACACUUUCAUUUGUCCCAUGAUUUCUAGUAUUUCAUAUCCAUCUACGAUCAAGGGUCCGAGAGGUCUCUUUUUGGUUUACAGUAUUUGUUUUGUCUUGUCUGUGGGCAUGGACAUGGGAGCUCCACUACCCAUUGGCUCUGACUUGUCUGCGCUGAGGAAGCCCCCUGGGCUCAUGGAACACAGGAACGCCCCUCCACCUGAGUAUUGGAGGUAUUCCUACUGGCAACGGUUGUCCUUGAACCUAUGGAGGGUGAUGGGGUCAAGGACAGGACCUAGUUCUCUCGCGUACACAUUCUCCCCUCCUAGCUUGCACUCUGAAUGCCUGAAUGAGGCUCUUGUGACCACUGAUUCAACAAAUUUUGAAGUCACCAAACAGAAUUACAAUGCGCGACAGGAGAAAGGCAUGAUAAAACCACCUUUACAGAUGUUUUCGUAUGCAGUAUAUGGGAGGUUAAUGCAAUCUGAGUUAGAUUACUGAAUUGGCUUUUUAUUAUUGAAUUGUAUCCACUUGAGCAAUUAUCAAACCAGGUGCUGCUGAUUGGAAUCAAUUAUUUGUUCACCUGAUCACUAUAAAGCUGACAAGGGCAUACGAUUGCCACUUGAGGGUGCUUCCACUACUACUGAAGCCUUGUUGAAAGGUAUUUAUUAGUUUGUGAUGCUCCAAAAAUUCUCCCCUAUUUGGCGAGGGCAAAAAAAUUAAACUGGCAGGGGAGAAAGUCUUGAUUAGAUUGCCGUGUAGCCUUAAUGUCUGGAUAAAUUUAAGAAAGGUUAUUCACGGUGUUCCUGCAUUAAACUUCUUGGGUACUCCGGGGGGAUACUGCCCUACAAUAAUAUUUCCUUCUUUAUUUAUUUCCUAAACUUUAUUCGCCGCUUGAUUGUAAAACAAACAAACAAACUUCAAAGCAGUUUACAAAAGAUAAAACAAGAAAAUCAAGAAAAAGUCAAAACCUUACUUUGAAACAUACAGAAAUUAAAAUACUAAAACAGAUAAAAAUUACCUCACCUUACCUCACCUUUCUAAGCAUCUGGGUAGGCUUCUCUAAGCAAUGUUUUUAGCGGGAACUGAAGAGAGGCUCCUGGUUAAUCUCAAUAGGUAGGGAGUUCCAAAGUGCAGGCGCUGCCACGCUAGUUGACCGAGUUCUUGCCAAUGCAGAAGAGAUAUUAUGUGGCACGGAGGUAGUUUAUUGGAGAGUAGUUUAACAACGCAGCAUGAGCUGAUUUUCAGCAGCGAUGAGAGUGUAAGCAAAAGCAUUAAUAACAUGAGAUUUGGCCAGAAGGACACAUCCUUACACAGGUCUUUUGGAUGUUAGCAGUAUUUUCUGCCAUGUUAAGUCGAGGGGUUUUACAUGGUGUGUUGCCUAAAACCUUUCAGCCUGGUUAUUUCAUUAUUCAAUAGACCAAAGAGUUUAGAAUCGCUAUACAAAGGAAUGUAGAGUAAUUAUGAGUUGUGCAUGGAUUUUUGCUCCUUUCUCUAAUUCCCUAUUACUCCAAGCUCCAGGGCUUGUGGAUUUUAAUAUGGCAUACUAAUAUGUUGCAUCUUGAUGUAUGAAAGUAUAAUAUUGUUGACCAUUGGUUUAGUUAUUAUAAAUAAAUUUUACAAUAAGAUGUCUUUAACAUUUACUCACUGUUAACAGACAAUAUCUGUGUUUUUCACCAAAGAUUUGUCAAAACUUUUUGAGCUUUUUUUAAUACAAUAAAUAAAUAAAUACAUGCAUCUCCUGGAAUCUGUUGUACUGAUUCCCUAAAGCUAUACCUAAAUGGAAAGCCACGUGGAACUGGGUUUUGUGAAGGCUCUAAGUUGCAAUGACAAAGGCAAGAAUCUUCAAAGCCAAGCCUGUCAGACUGACUCACGUUGAUCGUGUCUGAUGGUGGGCCUUUUUCAUGACCUUGUAUUUUCUUCAAUGGAACAUGGGGAACCAGGGAUAAAAACUAUACCACAAAAACAUUCCCUGAUAACUUCACACAUUCAGUUUUACACACACACACCAGCAACCCAUAUCAUCACUUUGCAGUGACUGAUGCUCCUCAGGGCUUUUUCCCUUAGGUGAAAACUAGACAUUACCUUAAAGCUACUUUUGGGUUCACACCCUUUAAUACUGGAGGUGGUUUUAAUUGGAUCUGCAGCCUUGAUUCUGAGAAAAAUCCCGCACCCCAGUGGCAGUAGAAGAAGAUUUCAGGACUUCCCAUUUCACGAGCCAUCUUUAGUGCAGUCUCAAAAGUUAAGUUGGCUCCCUGCAACAAUUCCUCUUGUAUAUCUUUGGAGAUCAACCCCACCGUCUUUUAUCAUAUCAUCUGCAUCAUGAAAUGCACAGUCCCUUGCUAUAAAACAAAGCGGCGUUAACCAUCCAUCUAUGGAUUCAGCCUGUCCUUGUUGGCUCUCAAAAAAGUGUUUUCUCUGCACAGGGACAUUCAUAUGUGGAGUGCAAUAUGCUUCAAAGUUUGCAAACAAUAUCUCAAGUUUCUUCUUGUCCUCAGGGGCUGGCUUGCCACUUGCAGUCCAUGAUCUGCAAAUAUCUCUGCCCUUCUGGCCUAUGUAUGUCAGGAACUGUGAAGCCUUGUGCUCCUCAGACCACUUGUCUGCUUCAGGGCCUGCGGAAAUCAGUUCCAUAAUUCCCCUCCAUUGUGACCAAUUUUCUGCCACAUUCCCUGAGACAAAAAACCAAGCGUCUUGAGCUGGAGGCCAUUCUUUCAGGUGCUCCUGCUGGGUCCUGCUUCUGCCUGGCUUACGGUAUAAGGCAGAUGGCAGGAGAUGCCACGGAGCAAAGCAGCAGCUGAGGCUCCAGGCAGCUGAUACUUUCAUUUCCUCUAAGCACCUUUGGACCCAUGUGGCCCAAUAGGCAGGCUGUUAGGGGGCAGGGGAAGGAGCAGGCCCCAGCCCAGUGGUCCAUGAGUUUGCCCACAUGCCAAGUUGGUUGCUAACACUGGCCCUGUUUUCUGACAUCUCCCAUUAUCUGCUGCUCUUGUUGUGGGCAUUUGGGAGAUCUUUGACCAGCCCCAACAACAUCAUUAGGGGUGGGCAAAUCUGUCCAUUCCAGUUCCUCUCUCUUCCAGUCCUGUUCAAUCCUUCACAUUUCCAAAUCAGUUUGUGAAUUUCUCCUAAUAUGCACUUUCCUCUGCAGAGCAAUGUUCGCCUAAUAUUUUUGUAUUUUGUUUUCACUUUACCCUAGUAAAAGCAUUUUUGUACCCAUUAAAAAAGGUAAAGGGACCCCUGACCGUUAGGUCCAGUCGUGGCCGACUCUGGGGUUGCGGCGCUCAUCUCACUUUAUUGGCCGAGGGAGCCGGCGUACGGCUUCCAGGUCAUGUGGCCAGCAUGACUAAGCUGCUUCUGGCAAACCAGAGCAGCGAACAGAAACGCCGUUUACCUUCCCGCGGUACCUAUUUAUCUACUUGCACUUCGAUGUGCUUUCGAACUGCUAGGUUGGCAGGAGCAGGGACCGAGCAACGGGAGCUCACCCCGUCGCAGGGAUUUGAACCGCCAACCUUCUGAUCGGCAAGCCCUAGGCUCUGUGGUUUAGACCACAGCGCCACCCGCGUCCCGUGCAUUGUUUAGAUUGUUUAGGACAGUGCAAAUUCGGCAGCUUCACCUUUAAAUGAGAACUGUAUUGAAUUUCCCUCCCUUGGCACCAUCAAGACAGAAUGAUGUCUUAUAAUAGUAGAGUAAUACAUGUAAGCUCUGCCUGAUACUUUGACUAAAUAAGACUAUAAAAUGGUUUAAUGUGCUCCAUAGAAGUAGACACCAUGCCAUAGCACUGAUGAUCCCCAAUGCUGGGAUCAGAAUGACUCAAGUGUCUGCUAGUAUAACACAAAAUUAGAUCUGCUCCUUUUCUACCCUAAUUUGUGUCUGUUAGUAUUAAACGUGACAAAGGCAAAAAACUUUAAAGAUAUUCCUAUGGGCAAUGGAACAAAUCUUACAGUGCCAAAAGAAGAUUAAUCACAGAUAAUUGCAGGACAAAAAAGAGAACACUCACGUUGUGGCAUGUAUGGAAUCCGCAUAUUUUCUGGAAAAAUUAGAUUCUAAACAAUAGCUGGAUUCUUCCAUUCAGCCAGAUCCCUUUCCAAUAGGUCUGAGGGUACCGUAUAGGAUGAAAUUUGGCGCCAUUUGCAAAAACAAUAUGAGUACAUAGGAACUUGAGCGCACCUCUUUUUUUGCUUGAACUACUCGAUCAACUUUUUUUGUGAGAAUCCCAUGUUCAGUACACUUCCAUGAGGUACCCCCCCCCCCGUGUCCUGAUUUUCCAGGGACAGUCCCAGAAUUUGGAUUUGAUCCCAGAAUGUCCCGAUUUUCCCUGCCAGCACCAGGGACGAGCUCAGGGACGAAGAUGAGCCUGUGCUUGUCUCGAGUGACGACAAUGGCAGGGUGGCGGCUGCGGGGAAUCCUCCCAUUGCCUCUCCCUGGCUGCCACCGCUGCCCUCCUUCCCUGGGCAGCUCACAGCAGCUGCUGGUGAACAGGCAAGAAGGAGGUGAGGCUGCUGCCACCGAGGCCCAGCCCAACGUGGCGUGCCGGCUCUGAGGGGGCAGGCAGAGGGCAGGGCCACCCUGGGUGGAAAGAAAGGGGGAGAGGAGCAGAGCGCAAGGAGUCUUGGUGUGUGUGUUUUAAUGCUUUGUGCAUCCAUAUCUAAUAUUGCCCCUUUCUAAAAUGCAUUUGGGACACGGGUGGCGCUGUGGGUUAAACCACAGAGCCUAGGACUUGCUGAUCAGAAGGUCGGCGGUUCGAAUCCCUGCGAUGGGGUGAGCUCCCGUUGCUCGGUCCCUGCCAACCCAGCAGUUCAAAAGAACGUAAAAGUGCAAGUAGAUAAAUAGGUACCGCUCCGGCGGGAAGGUAAACGGCGUUUCCAUGCGCUGCUCUGGUUCGCCAGAAGCGGCUUAGUCAUGACCCGGAAGCUGUACGCCGGCUCCCUCGGCCAAUAAAGCGAGAUGAGCGCCACAACCCCAGAGUCGGCCACGACUGGACCUAAUGGUCAGGGGUCCCUUUACCUUUAAAAUGCAUUUAUUGGUGUGUGUUUUUCUUUUAGUACAUCUAACAAAGAAUAAAAUAAAAUAAAGUGGGAUAAAGGGUUUUUUUCUCAGGACGCUGGAGAGUGUGUGCGCUGUGUCCUGUUGGUGUUGUGGUGUGAUAGGAGUCAGGGGAGUGAGAAAUGUCCCUAUUGUCACCCAAGGAAUGUUGGAGGGUAUGCCAAGUGUCAGAGACUUUACCUGAUGGCUAUCAUGUGGCCCAGUCCUGCAUCAUAUUAUUCACUCUGCUCUUAUGGGGCUCAUGUGGCCUGCUUAUUUUUGGUGCCACCAGAAAAAGAAGCUUGGAAUCUAAAUCAUCAGCAUGAGGAGGCAAUAGCUUUCCAACUGCUUAUACCAAGCAAAGGCUGCUGCAUAAGCUUAGAUUGCAUCUUAUUUCACUUCCAAAGGCUGUACCUGAAAAAAAUCUUUAACGUGAAACAAAAUGCGUAAAAUAUAAUAAAAACAGAGAGAUGACCCACAGAACCAGUAAUGAUUGACAGAUUGUGUUAAAGGGUAUGAAUGAUCAGAAACAGCUAUAGUUCUUUCAAUGGCUGAUCUUCAGCCUCUAUAAACAGUAGAGCCAAAGUAUGUGUGGCCAAUGCUCAGCACAGGGACCAUUAAGUGGUAUGGAGAGUGGGAGCUUGUGGCAGUCCUUGGCUGUACCGUGAGAGCCAGAAAGCCUGGGCUAUGGAAUAAAGGCCGACUCACUCUCUUGCCUGGUCCACAGUGGCUCAACAGAUUGCAUAUCUGUAACUGCUCUGAGCACAAGAAUGGCAUUGUCGCAUACUCUGGGCUUGACUUGCUGCACAUGCUAUCUUGCCACCGCUAACCUAGCUGCUCUUAGGUAACCCUCUGUGUUCUGUCAAGAACUGGACAAGAAAUUAUGGCGUGAUUUAUGGAUGGAAUUUGGAACUUCUGACUCCAAUGAGCUUUUUCUGCAUUGGACCAUCUCAUGCAUUGUUGAGUGUUUGUUUUAAAAGCCCAACUAAUUAUAUGCAAAAAUGUGCAUAUUACAUGUAUCCUAUGCGUAAGAGAGUUAGGCUCCAUGCACUGCUAAAUUUCUGUUCCAUAAUUUGGGAAGUAAUAGAAAUUUUUAUAUGGCAUUAUUGUAUGUAUCUGCUUAUGUGCUGUAUUUUAGGAAACCAGGGGUGUAUAUGCACAUCAAAUGUGAGUGUGAUAUUGGGUAUAAUAAUAAAAAAUACACUAUGCUAAAAUUGUUCAUAUUUUUAGCAGAACCAGGCUAGGGGGAGGAGGAAAGAGAAUUCUUACUUCCGAUUUGAGAUCAAGGAGUGAGGCAGGGGUUAGGGAAAAAAUCCAUGUGCAUAAACUCGACAUUAAGAUUUUCAGUGAAAGCCAUCCCUAGUUCUGCCCCUCCAUCUUUGGUAAUAUACAACUUGUGCCUCUCUCUCUCUCUCUCUCUCUCUCUCUCUCUCUCUCUCUGUGUGUGUGUGUGUGUGUGUACAUCUUGUUCUCUCUUACUUCUCCCAAUGUUUUGCUUGUUUAUUUACUGCAAUAGUCUUAUACAUUUUAUUGUAUGACAGGCCAUCAUAUGGCGCCCUGAGGCUGCGUCUCAGUAACAUGGCACCUCAUGCAUGUUAUCAGAAAGCGUACUUUCUUUCCUAUUUCCUGCCCAGAGCGUCCUUCAUAUCUAAACACAUUCGGGGGGGGGAGAGGAGUCAUUUUAUGCACCAUUGCAAAACUUUGUAUAUUAAAUUUAUGGUUGCUUGGCAUAUAAAACACGAAAUAUUUAUUGCAUUUUUAACAACCAAUAUUUAUAGUAACAUGUCACUCACUUGGUAUGUACUUUGCAUAUGAACCUGGUACAUGCCUUGGAUACUCAUUUUGGAACAAACUGCUCUAGCAAACAUUCAAAACCGCAAAGACAUGGUGCAAGUGUAGAAGAAAAAUGUUAAUGUAUUGUAUGCCUAUGCAAUCUAAGCAUACUGUAAUUGGUCUAUGGCUGUUAAGGCAGCCCUGUUUAGGGUAGUUUUAAAUGUUUGAUGGUUUGUCAUUUUUUAUUAUUAUUAUUAUUAUUAUUAUUAUUAUUAUUAUUAUUAUUAUCAUUAAUUCUGUUGGGAGCUGCCCAAAGUGCCUGGGGAAACCCUGCCAGAUGGGUGGUGUGUGUGUGUGUGUGUGUGUGUGUGUGUGUGUGUGUCUGCCACUUUCCAUGAAACUAAAAAUGGAGCCUCAUGAACCAAUUGCCAGUUGUUGGGAACAAAUGACAAGAACUCACAGGUUCGUCACCAUCCCUGGUGCUCCCUUGUCCUGAAUGAAACUUCUGCCUUAUCCAGCCAGGCUGUUCCAUCCUGUUUUCACUGUUAAUACAUUUAUUUAGAUUUGUAAAUUUAGCUGCUCAAAGCAUUGUUACUGGAAAACUGCUGGGGGGAAAUCAUAUUGUAUCUGGGCAGAGGCUGUGAACAGAUAUUAAGCAGUCAGGGCAAAGGGCACCUGUCAUAAUUUGGUCCUUUGCACAUUUUUCCCCAAUAAAGUGCUUUGUGGGAAAGGUAAAAUGUGAUAGUUUGGGCUCCAAAGAGAAGAAAUCACUACAAAAAAAGAGGGUCAGAAGACCAAUUGACCAAUUGGUGGAAUCUUGCAUACUUAUGGGAAAGCAAGGAUCCCACAGAAACCUCUCCUGUUCCACUGGAUCUGCUGCCAGUGCUCCAAGCUCUCUCAGCUUAAGCUUGCAACUCAACAAGCAGGGCAUUCUUGGUGAAGGCACCGCAUCUAUGAAACUCCCUCCCUCCUGUAAAAGCAGCAGUGGUGCAUGCAGGGGGGCGAGAACAGGGCUCUCCUGGUUACUAUUGCCAUUACCGGCAAGUUGGGGAGAAAAUUGAACAAAGGUUAUCUACAAAGAUUGCAACUCUGACCAUUGCAGAGAGGGUCAUUGGUUACAUUCCCCCCCCCCCCGAAAGUUCAUGUCUGAAUCCAGAAUCAAGUUGAUGAAGGUUGUGGUUCUUAUUAAGUGAUUAACGGCAAAGCAGUCUUUCUCUUCCUUCCCCUCCUCCUUCAGAAGCAUUCAGUAUGAAAAUGUAAUUUAAAACUGGAAUUACAUGAGUUUCAAACAGAUGGCAGAAUGUAUGCUUGUUCUUCCUAGCCUAUUUUGAUACUUCCAGUGUGCCAUUAAAAAAUAGGAAUAGUUUAAAGCAAAAAAAAGAAAAAGAAAAAAGAUUAAAGACAAUGGAUAGAAUCUUUAGACUGGAAUUUUAAAAGAACAUAGCAAUUCAUGGGUGGGUGGGGGGGAAUAAUUUGCCAUACUUUAAUGAACAGUAUCCCGGAUGCUUAAGGCAAGUCUGCCAAUAGGUUUCCCUAGGAAAUUAGCAGAGCAAAUAUAAUGACCUUGAAAUUGCACUUUAAAAUGUCCCAUAUAUUUUGCAAUUUGGCUUUGAAGCAGUAAUUACAUUAAAAACAAAAGACUAUAAUAGCUUGUGUUGUAGUACAUCCAGACAGGUCAGGUACUGUACAUGGCUGAAAAAGGAAAGUGGCAGAAUUAAUUGGGUGGUAUUUGUUUGCAUUUGAAUAAAGCAGACAGUGUCCCCCGGGGGAAAAUCCUGGUCAAAGUUUACUGAACAAGCCAGUCUGCAACUUGAGCAGAAAGAAACUGAGGGGUUUUGCUUUUUGAUGAGCCCUAUUCAGAGCUGGACUAGAUUCAGCUUAACUUUCACAAGAAAACUUUCUCACAGCUAAAUAACAUAUCCGAGCAUGUGCAGCCUCCGGGCAGAUCACACCACCGUCCCUGGCUCCUAGAUUAGGGUUACCAGGUGUCCCCGGUUCCCAGGAACAGUCCCCGGAUUCACCAAUCUGUCCCCGGAAUGUCCCCGGAUUUUAAUUAAUGUCCCCUGAUUUAUGCCUGGGGACUUCUGGCUAGCAACAUGGCGGGUGCCAAGGCAGCGAGCAGCACCAGAGGUCCCGGCCCCGUCAAAGUUCCAGACAGCCAAUCCGCUGGCUGGGGGGGGGGCUAUUUAAACCGAGGCGUGAGCCAGAGAGCUUCCUUCUGGCUCGCUUCCUUGAUCAACGCUCGCCCUUGUGCAGAGCCGCCUGCAGCAGAAGAGCAAGCAGGGCUCUUCUGCUGCGGGCUCUGCGCACCCAAGUUGGGGGGGCAAGCAAGGCAGUGAAAAAGAGGAGGAGAAGCCUAGAAAAGAGCUGUGCUACAUUGCAAGACAGAGAGAGAGAGAGAGAGAGAGAGAGAGAGAGAGGGAGUCUUGUGUGUGUGUUUUAAUGCGUGUUUUCCCAAGACCAACAAGCGCCUUUACUCGAUCUCUCUCUCUCUCUCCCCCCACCCCCAACCUCUUUGUGGGGGGGUGUUUGUGUGUUUGUAGAUGGGCUUCUCCGCCUGCCUUGUGUCGAGGUGCACGCCCGACAACUUUGGGGUUCCCCCCCCCUAAAAAAGGUCAAGAACUCUGGGCAACCCUUUCUUAAAAUACCGUAUUUUUUGCUCUAUAAGACGCACCAGACCACAAGACGCACCUAGUUUUUGGAGGAGGAAAACAAGAAAAAAAAUAUUAUGAAUCUCAGAAGCCAGAACAGCAAGAGGGAUCGCUGCACAGUGAAAGCAGCAAUCCCUCUUGCUGUUCUGGCUUCUGGGAUAGCUGCGCAGCCUGCAUUCGCUCUAUAAGACGCACACACAUUUCCCCUUACUUUUUAGGAGGGAAAAAGUGAGUCUUACAGAGCAAAAAAUACGGUAAUAAAGCAUGAAAUUUUUUUAAAAAGUGUCCCCAGAUUCCUUGAAAUAAAUCUGGUAACCAUAUCCUAGGUAACACCUCGACUUUCCCCUUCUUGCUAGCUGACUUACGGACCACAUAAGUUACCCACUGAAUGCUCUCUGCUGCUGCAGGUCCAGCAAUUCAAUGUUAUGUUAACCUGCAUGAGAUACAUAUAUUGCUUUCAGUAUUGUACAGUAAUACUCUCCAUUUGAUUAUGCUCUUUGAAAGGCUGAAAAUGUAGAUGAAUCCCCUCCAUACUGUAAUGCCAUCAUCAGGACCAUCAGAUUUGACUAAGUAAUGGCAUCACUAAGGAUUAUUAGAGUGAAGGCUAUUUAGUUAUAUAUUUGUUAUUUUUAUCCCACUCUUCAGACUAGCAUUUUGUCCCAGUCUGAAAUAAUCAAAAAUUUAAGCAAAGCAUCCCUCCCUCUCUCUCUCUCUCUCUCUCUCUCUCUCUAACUCUGCAGAACUUAGUUCCAAUAGUACCAAGUUUGCUUCCAUGAAAAGCUGCAUUGAGAGGGAAACAGAAAUAAUGCUGACCAAUUUAAAUCCCAAUGGAAUUUUUAACACGCCAUAUGUUAGGCAAUGUUCCUCUUAAAUGUUUUAAAAUAACACUGAGCUCAUAAGCAACUACUAGGCUUUCUUUCACCUGGAAGAGGUGGCAGCUAAGAACAACUUUUGAUCAAUAGUUCUGUGCUGAUGACAAUGGACUUUGGAUGGACUUGGGCGGAUUUCUUAAUACUCUGCAGCAGUUCCAGAAGGUCUCGAAAAGCGACUUGCCCAAGCGAAUCUAUUUGUCAAAUCUUGUCAAAAUUAUAGUUCUGGAGGCAGAGCCUUGUGGCCUUCCUGCCUUUGACGCCUAGGCUGCCAACCCUACAAUAGUUCUGGCAGUGAACAAGUACACCGCUUCCUUUGUUCAUUUAAUUUCAACCAUUUGUAUGCUGUUUAAUCACAGUAUGAUUAAACAGCAUGCAGGAGACCCAAUACAAUAAUGAAUCAAAAUUAUAGAAUCAGAAUUAAUUCCGUUAAAAAGUCUAAAAGUAUUUAUUUAUGUUUGUAAUCUUUGGUUAAGGCUGAUCGCCGAAGAAUUGAUGCUUUUGAAUUAUGGUGCUGGAGGAGACUCUUGAGAGUCCCAUGGACUGCAAGAAGAUCAAACCUCUCCAUUCUGAAGGAAAUCAGCCCUGAGUGCUCACUGGAAGGACAGAUCCUGAAGCUGAGGCUCCAAUACUUUGGCCACCUCAUGAGAAGAGAAGACUACCUGGAAAAGACCCUGAUGUUGGGAAAGAUGGAGGGCACAAGGAGAAGGGGGCGACAGAGGACGAGAUGGUUGGACAGUGUUCUCGAAGCUACAAACAUGAGUCUGACCAAACUGCGGGAGGCAGUGGAAGACAGGAGGGCCUGGCGUGCUCUGGUCCAGAGGGUCACAAAGAGUCGGACAUGACUAAACGACUCAACAACAACAACAAGUGGCAGAAGUUCAAAGGGGGGGCUGUCUGCCCUCAACUGGAAGGGAGUUCCACAGAUGUGGGCCCAUGACACUCAAUGCCUUGCUCUUGAACCUUCUUGGCAUAGAAGGGAGAGGUGGACGCAUAAAUGGGGUAGAGAAAGCAAAGGUAAAACGCCAAUUUAUGUUGAAUUUAUUUUUUAUGGGGGAUUUACUAUGCCUUGGAAUUUGCCAUUAUUGCACAUUACCAGCUGCUAAAGACAAGCACAAAGGGGUGCUUUCCUCCCUUCGAUCUCUGCUUGUGUGCUCUCCUGAGGCAUCUGGCAGAUCAUUAUGGGCUGGACGGGCGUUUGGCUAAUUGACUGUGGCAGCGCUUAUUAGCUAUGGCCAGAAACAGAAUUCCGAGUGAGAUGGACAAUGUUUGUAGAGCAGAUUUGCCAGUGAAGAGAAUAUAUCGCAAUUAACUCUUGAUCUCCUUAAAAAAUUACGGAAGCGUUGCCAUCAAGGAUUUUCACCUUUUAACUCUACUUUAUCUUGCAAAUAGUCUGGCUGCAAUCCAGCCCCACAACCAUCACACUUCAAUCCCAUUGAAAUCAAUGGGACUUAAGCACAGGCAACUGUGAGCUGGAUUGAAGCCAUGAUUCGAAACACUUCAGUUCUGCAUUUCCUUUUUCAUUAUGAUAGAUAAUAAUUUCUCUCUUGAUGAACAGAAACUGAAACUCCAUUAGGAAGAGAGAGAAAAAGACGCCACAAGUAACUUUUGAGGCAUUUAAUCAAAACCUACUGGUAUUACACGAGGAAGAUAAAAAUGUGCAUUUGUUGAAGUGUUGUUGGUUAUAUACUGUUAAUGACUUUUCUUUAAAAUACAAGUCUUCAGCAAAGUUGAAUAGUUUAUAAGUAUUCUUUUUUUAAAAAUUGAACCGAAACAAUCAACCAGCAGCCUGCCCACCCCAGUUGCAACACUUUCAGCAUUAAUUGAAUAUUUUAAGUUAUGCAUUAUUUUCAUUGCAAGUUUUACACAACUCUAAAAAGUGUGGCUAGCCCACAUCACAACAAUCAGUAUUCUCUGAUUCUUGGGAUAUUUUGCCACAUUAUGCUGAGGCAAACCUCAGCUACAGGAAGCCUAGGGACAUCACAGUAACCAUAUGGAUUUAGCUGCAUGACACCUGGGUUCACAGAGUUCUUGAAUUGGAAGGGACCCUGAGGAUCAUCUAGUCCAGAGCUUUCCAAACUGUGUGUUGUGACACGUUAGUGUGUCAGCUGCUCCUUCUGGGGCCAGAAAGGGCUUAGUUUACCCUCCAGUUUGCUAGGGAAACUAAAUUACAGUGGUACCUCGGCUUAAGAACUUAUUUCGUUCUGGAGGUCCGUUCUUAUCCUGAAACUGUUCCUAACCUGAAGCACCACUUUAGCUAAUGGGGCCUCCCACUGCUGCUGUGCAAUUUCUGUUCUCAUCCUGAAGCAAAGUUCUUAACCCGAGGUACUAUUUCUGGGUAUUUAGCGGAGUGUGUAACCUGAAGCGUCAGUAACCUGAGGUACCACUGUACUGUGUCGCAAAAUGAUGGCUGUCUAAAAAGUGUGUCACCAACAUGAAAAGUCUGCACAGUUCUGAUCUAACCCAACCACCUGCAAUGCAGGAAUAUGCAGCCGUUCCCUGCAGGGAUCCCUCCUGCAACUUUGCCAUUGUCAACACCACGCUGUAACCGACUGAUCCAUCCAGGCUGAUGUGUUCCUUGUGCAAAUGUGUUUCUUGUAUCAUGAUUUACCAUGGUAGAUGGACACAUAAAGCAGGUCUAUGGUUUUGUGUGUUUUUUAAAAAAAAGUACUGUGUGAAGUUGCUUUGUACAGACUUCCUGUGGUUUCAUGCUUUCUCUCGCAUGACACAAGAUUGGCUUUGUUAUGAAAAUACAUGUCAGUUUUGUCCAGACUCACAUGGUUCAGGCAGGCUUAAUUUGAAAGUGCCUUUUGUGGGAAUAUUCAGGGAUGCAGGAGAGGAUAUAUUGUUUGAUUAUAUCCUUUCCAACUUGUGUUAACAAAUUCUACAAUUUAGCAGAGUAACAUUCCCCUUUUUAAACUUGCACAGUGGAUGCGUUUGCUCAGGCUCGCUAAAGCCUCUAAAAUACGUUUCGUUGGCAAUUUCCCCCUUAGUCCCUCAUAAAAGAUAGACACGACACAGUCUUCUAUAAAAGUAUAAAAAGAGUUUACUCACACAUUCUGUCCACAAAUGGAUCCCAGAAGGCAGACUUAAGUUACAAAAGUAAUAUACACCUAGAAACUAUCCCAUAAGGAGAUAGCUCCUUUGUCCUCUCUUGCCUGGAAGCCAAGAGAGCGUCUUAGGCUAAGCAGAUGUUGCUUCUUCGACGAAUGUAGUCAGAGAGAGAGAUGGCUGACCAGUCCUGCUCUUUUGUUACCUGGGCAGGUGAGGUCACGCCCACCUCUAGUCACAUGCAGAGGAAGUCUGUCCCAGCCUAGAAGAAACAGGAAAUUCUGACUGGCUGAUCCAGACAUCCCCUUUUAUGUCCACUCUAGGGAUGUUGUACUUGACUGCUCUUGUGUUUCACACCCCACACCUUUAGACACAGAUUUGUUCAAUUCAUCCUUUUUUAAAAAAACAACAACAUCCCCCCUCACAAAGAAGCAGACCUGCUUUUGCAGCUUUUAAAAACAGAUUCUAACUUCCUACCUUUACAACUCUCCUACUCAACCUAUUUUUCCAUAGCUGCAAGUGUGUGUGUGUGUGUGUGUGUGUGUGUGUCUGCACUUAUGGAAUAGGAAAGUUACUGUUGGGUGAGGGGAGGAGGGCAAAAAAUAAAAGAGAUUUGAUCAAGAUAAUAUAGGCAACAUUGGCUUUUGCAUUCAUAUCUGACUAGGUCAUGCAAAUCAGCCUUGGCCUGUCACACAUAGCGUUGGAUUGGUGCCACUGUGUUGAACGGCAUAAGAUAAUGUAUUAUCUUUAAUAUCUCUCAGAGAUUUAAUCUUCCUUAAUUUUGAAUACAUAGGUUAUGCCAUCUCUGAGCGAUAACAUUAAUGAGGUGGAUAUAAUUCAUCUCUUUGGGGCUUUUGUAUACAUAUAUAAAAAGUAAAACAAAUAAUUUUGUAUGGGAUCUGCACACUCAUCAGCUACAAAAGCAAACAGUAAAAUAUAUUAGAUAUGGAUAAUAAUUUCAAAAGUUCCAGUACAAGUAUUGCCAUGUAUGGUUUUUUUGCUCUGUUGCUUGUUUUUUUAAUGUUAAUAGUGAAACUUGACUGAAUAUCUUCACAGGAAACUUACUCCAUUUUAAAAUAUGGAACAGAUUCACUCUUGUGUUAUUGUAGGCAAUGUGCCCACCUAGACUGAGCUGAACUUGGUUCACCGCCGUUAAUUAAUUAACUUGGAUCAUUGCGCAGUAGUUUGUUACAAUACAGAUGUGGGGAAUCUUUGGCUCUCCAGACGAUGCUGAACUACAAGUCCCAGCAUCCCUGGCUAUUGGACUUGCUUGCUGGGGCUGAUGGGACUUAUAGUCCAGCAACAUCUGGCGGACCAAAGGGUCCCAACUCUGAAGAUGGGGGUGUUGUAAAGCUGAACACACAAAAACAGGACAGCAGUCGUUUUACCCCAUGCUUUAAUUGUUGCAUUCCACUGCUUUUUCUUUACAGCAAAACCAGAUACAAAAACAAAACCAGUUUGCCAUCCGAACAUGUAUAGUUCCACAUUUUAAAUUCAUUUAAUUCAUCAUUAUUGUUAUGUACUGAAGUUCUCACCCUGGGCCAGCAGGGGGAUACUGUAGAUAGUUAUGCAAAUGAAGGAUCGAAAGUGACGUUCAGUGAUUGGCUAGUUACAGAAAAUGGCAUUCUAGUAGAGCUCUAUAUAAGCAGGCUGACUGAGCUCCUCAGUUCAGUUCUGUUCCAGUUUACAAAUAAAGAGCUGCCUUGGAAGAAUCACUGUGUCGUCUGAUAUGUUCGCCCACAACUUAACAAUUAUUUUAUUCACUUCCUGCCUCGGACCGAUCACCAGCUAUCAGCUAAACCUACCCUGCACGGUUGUUGUGGAGAUAUUGAAGGAAAUAUGGAACAGCUGCAAAUGGGGACUUAGUGCUUGCCUUAUAGCCAUGAAACUUAGCUUCCUUUAACCAAAGUACAGUGGUACCUCAGGUUAAGUACUUAAUUCAUUCCGGAGGUCCAUACUUAACCUGAAACUGUUCUUAACCUGAAGCACCCCUUUAGCUAAUGGGGCCUCCUGCUGCUGCCGCGCCGCUGGAGCACAAUUUCUGUUCUCAUCCUGAAGCAAAGUUCUUAAACUGAAGCACUAUUUCUGGGUUAGCGGAG